GGUCCAGUAGCUCAGGGGAUAGAGCGGCCGCCUCCUAAGCGGCAGGUCGGCAGUUCGAUUCUGCCCUGGAUCA
rnacentral:tRNA from 1 species